AACGAACGCUGGCGGCAUGCCUAACACAUGCAAGUCGAACGAGACCUUCGGGUCUAGUGGCGCACGGGUGCGUAACGCGUGGGAACCUGCCCUUAGGUUCGGAAUAACUCCCCGAAAGGGGUGCUAAUACCGGAUAAUGUCUUCGGACCAAAGAUUUAUCGCCUGUGGAUGGGCCCGCGUUGGAUUAGCUAGUUGGUAGGGUAAAAGCCUACCAAGGCGACGAUCCAUAGCUGGUCUGAGAGGAUGAUCAGCCACACUGGGACUGAGACACGGCCCAGACUCCUACGGGAGGCAGCAGGGGGGAAUAUUGGACGAUGGGCGAAAGCCUGAUCCAGCAAUGCCGCGUGAAUGAUGAAGGCCUUAGGGUUGUAAAGCUCUGUUACCCGGGAUGAUAAUGACAGUACCGGGAGAAUAAGCUCCGGCUAACUCCGUG
rnacentral:rRNA from 1 species